rnacentral:rRNA from 1 species
GUCCACGCCGUAAACGAUGGAUACUAGCUGUUGGGAGCAAUCUCAGUGGCUAAGCGAAAGUGAUAAGUAUCCCACCUGGGGAGUACGAACGCAAGUUUGAAACUCAAAGGAAUUGACGGGGGCCCGCACAAGCGGUGGAGCAUGUGGUUUAAUUCGAUGAUACGCGAGGAACCUUACCAAGGCUUAAAUGUAGUUUGACCGUUUUGGAAACAGAACUUUCGCAAGACAAAUUACAAGGUGCUGCAUGGUUGUCGU